AGGCCUAGGGGGUGGCAGGCUGGCCACCAGUGUGGGCUAACCCUGUCCUCUCCCUCCCAG
ensembl:miRNA